rnacentral:rRNA from 1 species
UACGUAGGGGGCAAGCGUUGUCCGGAUUUACUGGGCGUAAAGGGGCGCGUAGGCGGCGCGGUAAGUCACUUGUGAAAUCUCUGAAGCUUAACUCAGAACGGCCAAGUUGAUACUGCAGUGCUAGAGUGCAGAAGGGGGCAAUCGGGAAUUCUUGGUGUAGCGGUGAAAUGACGUAGAUAUCAAGAGGAACACCUGAGGUGAAGACGGGUUGCUACGGCUGACACUGACGCUGAGGCGCGAAAGCCAGGGGAGGCAAACGGG